rnacentral:rRNA from 1 species
CCUACGGGAGACAGCAGUGAGGAAUAUUGGUCAAUGGACGAGAGUCUGAACCAGCCAAGUAGCGUGAAGGAUGACUGCCCUAUGGGUUGUAAACUUCUUUUAUAUGGGAAUAAAAUGUUCCACGUGUGGGAUUUUGUAUGUACCAUAUGAAUAAGGAUCGGCUAACUCCGUGCCAGCAGCCGCGGUAAUACGGAGGAUCCGAGCGUUAUCCGGAUUUAUUGGGUUUAAAGGGAGCGUAGGUGGAUUGUUAAGUCAGUUGUGAAAGUUUGCGGCUCAACCGUAAAAUUGCAGUUGAAACUGGCAGUCUUGAGUACAGUAGAGGUGGGCGGAAUGCGUGGUGUAGCGGUGAAAUGCUUAGAUAUCACGAAGAACUCCGAUUGCGAAGGCAGUUCACUGGACUGCAACUGACACUGAGGCUCGAAAGUGUGGGUAUCAAACAGGAUUAGAUACCCGGGUAGUC